rnacentral:tRNA from 2 species
GGUCCGGUGGUGUAGUGGUUAACAUGCCUCCCUGUCACGGAGGAGAUCGCGGGUUCGAGUCCCGUCCGGACCGCCA